rnacentral:misc_RNA from 1 species
AUAGAAUCAUAUCAAUGGAUAACAGAGAGAGGA